UACGUAGGGUGCAAGCGUUGUCCGGAUUUAUUGGGCGUAAAGAGCUCGUAGGCGGUUUGUCGCGUCGGAUGUGAAAACCCGGGGCUCAACCCUGGGCCUGCAUUCGAUACGGGCAGACUAGAGUAUGGCAGGGGAGACUGGAAUUCCUGGUGUAGCGGUGAAAUGCGCAGAUAUCAGGAGGAACACCGGUGGCGAAGGCGGGUCUCUGGGCCGUAACUGACGCUGAGGAGCGAAAGCGUGGGGAGCGAACAGG
rnacentral:rRNA from 1 species